GAAAUCCUCAGGAUCAAACCUUCCACGCCUCCUGCUGCGAGCAUGAUGUCAUCAUGUUUACCUUUUGUUUGACUUUCACACAAACAUUCAGAGGAACAAAGGUUAAAAUCUCAGCUAGUCCUUCAUCCGAGAGCUUCCAGCUGCUCAUCAGAUCCAUGCGACACAGCAGACCUGCAGCGGGAGCACGCCUCUUUAUUUUCCAGGCCGCUGACGCUCCCUGAGUCACUGAGGACGAGGAAGGAGAGGAAGAGCGGUGCAGAGACAGACAGGCUCGAGGCGCGUCGGCAGCUCUGCAGCUCCACGUUUGUUCCUGAACAUGUUCUCCUGUCACGUUUGGUUCCUGCUCUCAGGUCUGAUCGGCUGCACGGGAAACUCCACAGCGAUCUGGUUUUCGGUCCCUGAGAAUCACCACGUCUGUCUGCCGUGCGGCAGCUCUGGCAGCUCAGACGUGAUCUGGACUCGGCAGGAUCAGGAGGUCCUGGUGACCCGACGGGGCGGCUACAAGACCAACAAGGACUGCCGGCGCUACCGCCUCAUGGUUAAUGGCGACCUCUGCGUCCAGCAUCUGAAGGAGUCGGAUCAUGGAAGAUACCGCUGUAACCAGCAGCUGGUGGCUGAGCUGCAGGUGCUGACAGGUCGGGACUACACGGUGUCCGCGGGCCGGACGCUGCUGCUCCCCUGCAGCGGCUCCUCCAAACCCAAACAGAGGUGGUUCCAGCAGAGGGAGGGCGAGAGGCGGGAGGCCGUCCUCACCAAGUACAGAAACGGUACGGUGAAACCAGAAAGGGGCGGCGGCCGGCUGAGCUUCACCAACGACGCCCUGCAGAUCCAGGACCUGCAGCCAGAGGACGCUGGAGAGUACGUCUGCAACGGGCUGCUGCAGGCCAGAGUCACGGUCCUCGCAGCACACGCAGAGACGAGCAGCCAGCCUCCGUCCACCAGCACACCUCCAUCACCUGCAGUGGUGACAGCCGAAGUGGGAGAAAUAAAGAAGAAGAGCAACAUGAGACCUGAGAACGUUCUGCUGCUGGUUGCUGUCGUCAGCGUGGGGUUGAUGAUCAUCUUCUUAGCUGCUGUCUGUGUGUUGCUGACCAGCAUGAAGUGCAGGAGGAGGAAACGCAGAGCUGCAGCAGCACCGACACGUGAAGACACAGAGCUGCAGCCGUGGACGGCGUCCAGCGCACCGACAGAGGGUGAGGACUUAGAGACCCCGCCCCUCUGUGGGGAGACGAUCCACUACGCCUCUCUGGGCCGACAGAACUGGAGAGAGAGACCCAGCAGGAGUCCGCCGGAGCAGAGCCACCACAGCGUCAUCUACUCCUCUGUCGUCAGCAGACCUGCAGCGAGAGCUGAGCACAAACUCUGAAAGUCUGAGUGUACGGUCGUGUGACGGGAAGCUUAGUUUCACCUGUGACACAAGCUGUUAAAAUCCUGUCAGUCAGUUUGGUUUCAUGUUUCACUCUCUGCUUCAGCAGCACAGCUGCUUUCACUGAGUCUUUACAUGUUACAGCGAGGACUCGUUCACAGGCGUCCACAUGUGGAGCGUCACAUCUGGAGCGGCGGCCAUCAGGACAGAUCGUGGUGUCAGAAUCAGUUUAUUAGUAACAGACAAAGUGUGGAACCUGUUCAUGGAAGCAGCACAGCAAACAUAUUUACAGCAGCAAUAUUCAGACACAGACAUAAAGAUUUGAAACUGACCCGAGGGAACUAUUCACACACAUGGGUAAAAAAGGAUUUUCUUUAGUUUAGUAAUUAUCUGCUGUGGCAGAUUUACAUUCAUGGCUGUUACUUUAUUAACAGAAAUGUUUUACAAACAUUUUGCUUUCAUUGCAACUUUCUGGAUAUUUAACAUUUUAAGUUUUUCUGCUCACUGAAAAAUAAAUCUUAUCUGUUUACACAAACAAAUAAACUAAAAUCUAGAUUUUGAAAUCUAAUCACAUAUUUUCACAGUUUUAUUAAUUUAAAAAAUUCAUUUACGCUCAUUUAAAGUGCUUCUAUCUGUGGUCAUGUGAUGCCUUUGAGUUCUUGCACAUGUUCACUGUUGAGUACAGGACCUUCUCUUCAGCCAAUCCGGUUCCUCUCCUGGUGGUGGGGCGGGGCUUGUCUGGAUGCUUCAGGCUGGAAUAAUGCAAAGACUCUUCCUGCAGAGACACAAAGAGUAAAAGAUCUGAUUAAACUGCAGGUCAUCAUGCUGCAGGUUCUCUACAUCUGGCUUCCCUGCACUGCGUGGUGCUCAGCACAGGCCUGUGAAUCCUCUGAAUCUCAGCGUUCAGCUGUGCUGAAGAUAAAAGCUGCCAAAUAUUUAUGUUCAUGUUUCAGUGAAAGCACCUUUUCAGAUUUUACUGGCAAAACAUAAAGAAACGAGGGUUGGUUCAAGACUUUUGCACAGUGCUGUGCUGCAUGUGGAGCUUGUUUUUAGAAGCAGUAAUAAAACAGAACCUGUUUGAAAC
ensembl:lncRNA